rnacentral:tRNA from 1 species
GCUCCUGUGGUGUAGCGGUCAAGCAUUGAGCCCUCUCGCGGCUCAGACCCGGGUUCAAGUCCCGGCGGGAGCA